AACGAACGCUGGCGGCAUGCCUAACACAUGCAAGUCGAACGAGACCUUCGGGUCUAGUGGCGCACGGGUGCGUAACGCGUGGGAACCUGCCCUUAGGUUCGGAAUAACUCCCCGAAAGGGGUGCUAAUACCGGAUAAUGUCUUCGGACCAAAGAUUUAUCGCCUUUGGAUGGGCCCGCGUUGGAUUAGCUAGUUGGGAGGGUAAAAGCCUACCAAGGCGACGAUCCAUAGCUGGUCUGAGAGGAAGAUCCGCCACACUGGGACUGAGACACGGCCCAGACUCCCUCGGGAGGCAGGAGGGGGGAAUAUUUGACCAUGGGCCGAAGGCCGGACCAACAAUGCCGGGUGGAUGAAGGAGGCCUUUGGGUUGUAAAGCUUUUUUAACCGGGAAGAAAAUGACAGUACCGGGAGAAUAAGCUCCGGCUAACUCCGUG
rnacentral:rRNA from 1 species